UACAGGCUGGCUUUCCGUGACGUCACAGACGCGCGCCUUCUGCGACGUCACAGACGCGAAGUAAUACCUGGAGCUGGUCAGUCUCCUCACAGUGGAGCCUGGUAACCGCGACCUCAUUUCCAGGUCCUGUGUAUUGCUGGCUGGAGAAGGGUAGUUGACAAACUCCCACCCAGCACAGUGUGUAUGUCCGUCAAAAAUAGGAAACUGUGUCCGGUGGCGGCGGAGGCGAGAGGAUCCUUUCAGGCCAAGAGCAGCUUGUUAACCUGGCGCGACCCCAUCUCUUUAGUCUCACCUCAGCUUCCCAGCUACUUGAACCCCGGUUCAAGGCUCCAGUGAGCUAUGACCCCACCACAGCUCUCCAGCCUGCGAGACUGAGGCCGGAGUUGCAAUCUCAGCUCGCCACAACCUCUGCCUCCCAGAUUCAAGAGAUUCUCCUGCCUCAGCCUCCCAAGUAUCUGGGACUACAGGGGUGCGUCACCACGCCCAGAGCCACCUGGAGUUCCCUUGCUGAGGAUCUGAGCAUGACCCAGGACACGGCACUGCCGGACUCUCUUUCCACACAGGACUUCCAUGACAGUUAUUAGCCCAAUGAGAUCCUGGGCAGGCUGGAGUUGCAGUCUCAGCUCACCACAACCUCCGCCUCCCGGAUUCAAGAAAUUCUCCUGCCUCAGCCUCCCAAGUAGCUGGGACUACAGGGGUACAUCACCAUGCCCAGCUGAAGCCUUGGGGAGCACUGAAGCCAAGGCUAUAUCGUACCAAAAAUUUGAAGCACAUGUGAAUGUGGAAGGACUACCAGAAAACAUUCCUUUCAGAAGACCCUCAUGGUAUGGAAUCCCAAGGCUGGAAAACAUCUUUCAAGAGGGCAAUCGAAUUAAAUUUGUUAUGAAGAGACCAGAACUUCUUACUCACAAUACAACUGAAGUCACUCAGCCAAGAACAAAUACAACAGUAACUCCAGUUAGCCUCCAUUGUCUCCAAGUCGACUUUCGUCCUCAUCCACAACUCCUCCACACAAGCCCUGAACACCUGUCCAUUCCCCCAAAAGACCAUGAAGUCCUGAGAGUAAUGAAAAGCUUCCUGAAAUUGAGGUCACUGUGGAAGGGUCUCCAGGAUUCUCAUCUUUUCACGUUUACAAUAUUGAAAUAUUUCAUACAAUACCAAAGACAGUUCCCAGCCAACCAUCAAAUAUGGAUGGGACCGUCUAGUUGCAGAAAAACAAGCUCAGGACUCCCACUGAUUCUACAUUAUGCCACAGCUGAGAUGUCUCACCCCACUCUCUAUGAUGCAACAAGAAGCCCCUUGGGAGCAUUUCAUUCCCACUCUAUACUUCUGUCAUUGUGCUCAUCACAGUCUGUGUUUACAGCAUUUUCAUCAAUAAAAGAUUCCAUCUCAAGAAAAAAAAAAAAAAAGAAACAGGACCUUGCUGUGUCACUCAGGAUGGAGUUCAGUGGUCCUAUCAUGGCUCAUUGUAGCCUCAAACUCCCAGGCUCAAGCGAUCCUACCAGUUCAACCUUCCCAGUAGCUGGGACUACAGAUGGAGUGUAGCUCUUGUUGCCCAGGCUGAAGUGCAAUGGUGUGAUCUCGGCUCACCGCAACAUCCACCUGCAGGGUUCAAGCGAUUUUCCUGCCUCAGCCUCCCAAGUAGCUGGGAUUUACAGGAAGUGACCUCACAAUGACUCAAGCUACCACUUACUGUUGAUUGUGAUGAAAUGCCAGCUGAGCCAUAGGCCCUGCGAGCUUAGGAGUGCUACACUUGACCACUGUGGCAGUAAAGAUGACUCUGAAGAAUGGCAUGGGAUGGAUCCUUUCGGAUGCACUUGAGCAGGGGUCUCCAACCACAGGGCCACAGAGCCGGAGGCUGAUCUCAAACUGCUGGCCUCCAGUAAUAUACCUCUCUCAGCCUCCCAGGGUGUUGAGAUUACAGGCAUAAGCCACCACGCUCAACCAACACCUGGAUCUACCAUGAAAGACUUCAGAGUCCAGGAAGAGAGACUGACUGGGCAACAUGUUAUUCAGGAAAUGGUGAAUUAAGUGUGGCAGUAAUGCUUUGUAGCGACAAUAAUUUGAUUGUAUGGAAUGUUGCCUGAGAGACCUCACUACAGUUUCUAAUGUUUUGAUGUUAUCAUCCAUCCCUGUCCUUGUCAAAUAAUUUGGAAUAGGUAUAGUGAUCACAAUAACACCAAGCGUAAUAUCUCAUUAAUUCUCACAAAAUCACAGGAGAUGGGGUCUCACCCUGUCACUCAGGCUGGAGUACAGUGGUGCCAUCACAGCUCACUGCAGCUUUGAACUCCUGGGCUAAGGAUCCUCCUGCCUCAGCCUCCUGAGUAGCUGGGACUGUAGGUAUACAUGAUGACACCUGGCUAAUUUUUAAAUUGUUUUGUAGACAUGGGGUCUCACUUUAUUGGCCAGGCUGGUGUCAAACUCCUGGCCUUAGGUGACCUUUCCACCCCUGCCUCCCAUCCUAGAGGUAUGAACCAUGACAACAAGCACUUGCUCAAUUUUCUAAAAAGAUAAAAAAUGUCUAAAGGCUGUGGGAUGAUGGCAGGAAAAGUAGAAAAACAGAAGAGUAAGUUCAAAUAACUUAUUCACACAUAUUCUUUCGACAGCAAGAAGAACUUGUAGUAUAUAUGUUCCUUACAAAAAAAAAAGGCAAAUAAACUGUUGUAUAAGAACUUCAACACACACUGUACAAUAUUCCCACUUUGCUGACAUCAGUUAUGGAAAUUCUUCGUGGUUUAUUGACUAUCGGUAUCAGUAUUUUGCUUCUCUGAUCAUUUUUAUCAACUUCCUCAUUGGUUAACUUUUCUCCAAGGUAUGUUGUAUUGUGACAUACUGCUGCUGCACAAACAUGGCUAGCAUCUUUUUAUUAGACAUAUAGAAUGCUUCCCUAAUUUCUUUUUUUUUUUUUACCAUCUAUCUCUGUGUUUUGCAUUUUUCUUACCUUUAUUGUCAGAGACUCCAAAAAGUCCGUUGUACUAAUUUAUCAUGAUUUGCUUCAUUAAUAUAUAUUUUGCUUAUAUGGAGUUUUACCCAACAAACCUCAUUAGAUAAUUUCUAACCUGUUCCCCCCCCCCCCACAAGACAAGGUCUUGCUUGGUUGUCCAGGCUGGAGUGUGGUGGUGGUGCUGUCAGAGCUGUCUGUAGUCUCAACCUCCCAGACUCAAGCAAUCCUCCCACCUCAGCCUCCCAAGUGGCUGAGACUAUAGGUGCUUACCUCUAUGCCCAACUCAUAUUUGGACUUUUUCUGUAUGUGGGUUCCAGAGGGAUGACUGCGAAACGUGAGUAUGCAUAGAUUUUGGUAUAUGCAGAGAUAGGUGGCUGGAACGAAUUCUCUCUGUAUACCAAGGGACAACUGUAUGUGGUUUUACAAUUAUGCUGUAGGACACAUACAGUUCUGUAGCCUUUAAAAUAAUAAUUUGUAAUGACAAAUAAUUUUUAAUAGGGUGGAAUAAUAAUAUUGAUAAAAGUAGCAGUUGGCCAAGUGUGGUGGCUCACACCAUUAAUCACAAUACUUUGGGAGGCUGAGGCAGGAGGAUGGCUUGAGGUCAAGAGUUUGAGACAGGUCUCGGAAACAAAGGGAGUCACCAUCCCUACAGAAAAAUACAUGAAUUAGCCUAGUGUGGUGAUGUGUUCCUGUAGUCCCAGCUACUUGGGAGGCUGAGGUGGGAAGAUCACUUGAGCUCAGGGAAGCUGAGACUGUAGUGAGUCAUGAUCAGGCCUCUGCACUCCAGCCUGAGUGACAGAGUGACACUCCGUCUCAAAAAAGAAGCAGCUAACAUGAAGUGACCUUUUACUAGGUGCCUAUAAAUAUCAUAGUUUAGUUUCUUAUAACUGUUUCUUAUUUCACUUAACUACUCUGUCUUCAAUCACUCCUAGAUUUUCACUUGAGUUUGUACAGUUGACCUUUUGUUUAGAUUGAAUUGCCUCCCCAAGGUAUUUCCAGAAGUAAGAUUACUGUGAGUCAUGGUGAAUGGACAUUCUAUUUGCCCUUGGUGUAAACUGACAAGGUUUUAGGUGCCUCCCAGCUAUAAUCCCAGCCCUUUGGAGGCUAAGACAGGACAAUUGCUUGAGGCCAAGAGUUGGAGGAGGCAGUAAGGUGAGACCCUGUCUCUAUUAUUUUAAAAAAUUGCCAAGCUUUACCCUGGAAUGCUAUGUACUACUUAAAACACCCCUCAUAGUAUAAGAAAGUGUCCAUUUCACUGCACCUCUGCCAGCACAGGGUAUUAUAAUUUAAUAAGUUUUCUUUCAUUGUUUUAAACAGAUAAAAGACCUCAUGUUACUUUAUUUGUCACAUUUUAACAUCUUUCCUUAGCUCAUUAGCUCUAUUUCUUUUCUGUCUGUAAAUGGUUGUUGUUGUUUUGUUCUUUGAGACAGGGUCUUGCUGUGUCACCCAGGCUUGAUGACUGUAAUGGCAUAAUCAUGACUCACGGCAGCCUUGACCUCCCAUGCUCAAACUACCCUCCCAUGUCAGCUUCCUGAGUAGCUGGGACUGCAAGUGUGCACCAGCACUCCCAGCUAAUUUUUUUCUUUUUUUGGAUAGAGACAGGGUCUUGCUGUGCUGUCCAGGCCGGUCUCUAGCUCCUGGCCUCAAGCAAUCCUCCUGCGUUGGCUUCUGAAAUUGCUGGAAUUUCAGGCAUGAGCCGUGAUGUCUGGCCUGUGCUAGUCUUUUAUUUUCUGGAGUUCUCUUUACUUUGUGCUAGCCAAUCUCUCAUUGUGCUGUUCCCCUGUUAUAAUGAAUAAUUCUCUGUAUUAAAUUUUACCACUUUAAACUUUUGAGUGGUUUAUAUCUCCUGAUUGGACUCUGACUAAUAUGCUAGGAAGGGUCCCAGGAGAUAAACCCACACAGAUGGGAUUUGGGCAUAGGUUUGGUUAUCCAAGGGGCAGUGCUGAGCUCCUUGCCAAUGGGAAAUGGGAUGCUGGUGAUUUCCAGGAAGUGACCUCACAAUAACUCAAGCUACCACUUACUGUUGAUUGUGAUGAAAUGCCAGCUGAGGCACAUGCCUUGGGAGUUAAGUGGUUGCUGCACUUGACCACUGUGAAGAGUGGUGUGGGAAGGGUCCUUUUGGAUGCACUUGAGCAGGGGUCCCCAACCCCUGAGCCAUAUAGCUGUAAGGAGCCACACAGCAGGAGGUGAGUGGUGUAGAGUGAGGGAAGCUUCAUCUGUAUUUACAGCCACUCCCCUUUGUUCACAUUCCUGCCUGAGCUCCACCUUCUCUCAGAUCAGCAGCAGCAUUAGAUUCUCAUAGGAGCUCACACCCUAUUUGUGAACCGUGCAUGUGAGAGAUCUAGGUUGCGCUGUCCCUAUGAGAAUCUAAUGCCUGAUGAUCUGUCACUUUCUCCCAUCAUGCUCAGAGGAUGGGACCAUCUAGUCACAGGAAAACAGGCUUAACACAGCCACUGAUGCUACAUUAUGGUGAAUUCUAUAAUUUCAUUAUAUCUUACAACAUAAUAGGGGAAAUAAAGUACCUAAUAAAUGUAAUGUGCUUGACUCUUUUGGCCCAGCUCCUGCCUCCCAGCAGCCUCUUCAGGCCUAGAACUUUCUCCAGUCAGCCUCUACAGACCAAGCUCAUGGCAUCCAAUGUCCUAUUUAGUCCCAUACCCUACCUCACAACAGUCUGCAGUUGAGGCUACUGCCUCAUGGCAGCCUCCACAGGCGUGGCUCCAUCAUUACAACGGCCUCUUUAGGCCCAGCUCCUGCCUCCCAGCCUUCUCUCCAGGCCCAGAGCUUUCUCAAAUUGACCUCACCAGGCCCAGCUCCUGCCUCUCAUCAGCCUCCCAAGGGCCAGCUUUUGCCUCACAGCCACCCUCCAAGACCUAGCUCCUGUUUUACAGUGGUGUCUUGAGGCCCACCUUCUGCCUCCCGGCAGCCUGUACAAGCCCAGCUCCUGCCUUAAAACAGCCUGUUUAGUCCCAGCUCCUGCCUGUAGGUGGCCUAUCCAGGCCCAAAAUGUCCACAAGUCGGCCUCUCAAGGCCCAGCUCCUGCCUUUCGUCAGCCUCCCAGGCCCAGCUGCUGCCUGCAGGUGGCCUCUACAAGCCGAGCUCUUUCUUCUGGCUGUGCCUGGAGGCCCAACUUCUGCCUCACAACAACCUCUUUUGGCUCAGCUCCUGCCCAGCUCCUAGUGGCCUUUGUAGGCCCAAAACUGCCUCAAGUCAAGCUUUCCAGGCCCACUUUCUGCCUCUCAAUGUCCUGGACAGGCCCAGCUCCUGCGUGAAAAUGGCCUCUCCAGGCCCAGCUCCUGCGUGACAAUGGCCUCUCCAGGCCCAGCUCUUACCUUCCAGCAGACUCUCCAGGCCCAGCUUUUGCCUCAUGGAGGUCUUCCCUGAACAGUUUCCUACCUGCCUCCUGGCAGCCUUGAUAGGCCCAGAUCCUGCCUCACACAUCAUUAGUGCCAGCUUAUGCCUCACGGUGGCUUCUCCAGGCCCAGCUCCUGCCCCCCAACAGGCUGUCCAUGCCCAAAACUUCCUCAAGUCGGCCUCUUCAGGCAGAGCUCCUGCCUAACUCUUUAGGCAUGGCUCAUGCCUCUCGGUGGCCUCUCCAGGCCCAGCUCCUGCAUCCUGGUGGUUUCUCCAGACCAAGAAUGUUCUCAAGUCUGCCAUUCCAGGUCCAACUCCUGCCUCUACAGGCUCAACCUCUGCCUCACAGCAGACUCUCCAGGCCCAGCCUCUGCCUCACCGCAGCCCCCCAGGCCAAUCUGCUGCCUUUCAGCAGCCUCUACAGGCCCAGCUCCUGCCUCCCAAUGACCUCUCUAGACCAAGCUCAUGCCUCACAGUGGCCAUUCCGGCCUAGCUUUUGCCUUUUGGCAGCCUCUCCAGGCCCAGAACUUCCUCAAGUGGGCCUCUCCAGGCCCAGCUCUUCCUCCUGGCUGCAUCUCCAGGCCCACCUCCUGCCUCACAACAAUGUGUUUCCACUCAGCUCCUGGUGGCCUUUGUAGGCCCAAAACUUCCUCACAUCAAGUUCUCUAGCACACACUUCUGUCUCCCGGUGGCCUGAACAGGGCCAGCUCCCGUGUGACAGUGGCCUCUCCAGGCUCAGCUCUUGCUUCAAGGAGAUCGUCCCCCAGCCAAGUUCCCGCCUGCCUCCCAGCAGCCUCGACAGGCCCAGUUCCUGCCUCACAUUGUUGUCAUUAGGCCCAGCUCCUGCCCCUGACAGGCUUUCCAGGCCAAAAUCUUCCUCAAGUUGGCCUCUCCAGGCUAAUCUCUUGCCUCACACUGGCUUCUUUAGGCCCAGCUCAUGCUUAUUGGCAACCUCUCCAGGCCCAGCUCCUGCAUCUUGGUGGCCUCUCCAGGCCCAGCUCCGGCCUCCCAUCGGCCUCACAGCAGAUUCUUCAGGCCCAAUAUCUGCCUCACUGCGGCCCCCCCAAGCCAAGCUCCUGUCUUUCAGCAGCCCCUACACACCCAGCUCCUGCCACUUGGUGGCCUUCUUAGGCCAAGCUUAUGAGUCACAAGGGCCUUACCAGGCCCAGCAUUUGUCUCACGGCAACCUUCCCCUGGUCAGGUUCCUGCCUGUCUCCCAGCAGCCUGGACAGGCCCAGGUCCUAUCUCACACUGGCCUCUACACCCAGCUCAUGCCUCAUGGUGGCCUCUCCAGGCCCAGCUCCUGCCCUGGGAUGUCGUCUCCAGGCCUAAAACUUCCUUAAUUCAGUCUCUCUAGUCCCAGCUACUGCCUCCUGGCAGCCUCUGAAGGCCCAAAGGCUCCUUAAGUUGGCCUCUCCAGGCCCAGUUCCUGCCUCCUAUCGGCCUCUACAGGCCCAGCCUC